rnacentral:lncRNA from 1 species
UACUUCUGCAAGUUCUAAAAUCUCUUUGUGUACUCUGCACUAUCUAGAAGCAUGUAUAAUCUCAACCAAACAAAAGUGUAGAUGUUAAUUGCGUGCAACACAACUAUUAUUUUAUAGGAUAGUGAUCUACUACUAGAACAUGAGAGAACAAGCAACAAAUCAAGACAAUGUUUACAAUAAAAUUAUCAGUCAAUAUUGAUAGAUAAGAAUAAUGGAUAUAAGUGAACAUUGCAUAUGUUAAAAUUAUAGAAACCAUUAGUUAGUAUGUUAAAAUCUUCUGGAAUAGCAUGUGUUCUAUUGAUCAAAACACUUUGAUUAGCAUGGUAACACCAUGUGAGUGAGCCUCCAAACAGUCCUUCAACGCUCCUCAACUUUUCUCAUGCCCACCAUCAUCUGGAGCCACUCCACCAGAUGCACCUGCAGGUCAUCCAUAUUGUAGUCCAUUAACAUACAUGUCCAGUUUUCCAGUAACCAGUAGGGUAGCACGAUAGGAAAACAAAUACAAGUUGGAAAGGUGACAUAAGUGCUGCUAUGUUUAGGCAAACUGGGAUAUCAGGAUAUUACAACUGAAAUAAAUUGUCGCUGCUAGCAGAUGCAAUGUUGAUGUUAUAACAAAAUGGACACUAGUAUGGAUUCCUAACAAUACAAUAUAUGCACACUUCAUGAGCUGGCUGCCAAUAAUUGUCAGGCUCCUCCCAACCAUUGCUUCAAGUGGCAGCACGCCAAAUUCUAGACAUCACUCUUCUAGUUUAAUAGACAUGUGUUGGCAUAUUUAUGGUCCACAUACUUGAAACAACAGCAGAGUAAAAGGUAAGCGCUCCUACAAAGCUAACUGCUUUCAAGCAUAAAGAAGUAUUAUUUACAGACUUCUUACAACAGAGGAAGUAUUAUUUACAGACUUCUCGUCACUCUCUCCCUCCAGCAAUCAACACACAAGCAAUGCACAUCCAUUAGAAAUAGGGGCGGAGCUCCUCGUAGGGCGAGGUUGGACGCUCGCCCUACCUUGAUUUUUGGUGAUUUUGUUUUAUACGUAUACGUACAUACAGACUGAUCGAUGUUGAAACUAAAGCUUCUUGAAAAUUCCCGUGAAAUCAUUUUGGGCCGUGAUGGAACUUGGCACUCAUCUCAACAGAUUAUUGGGCUAUAGCAACCAACACUCUAGCAGGUCCAGAACCCAGCAUCGCUCGAUCCUCAUCCAGUCCUAUGUUCAUCCACGCCAUGCAGGACUGACGCCAUGGACAAGAACGGACGAGCGGCGCACAUUCGCUGCAGCCAGCAGGAGCGGCCAUGGCGCAUGUGACUUGUGACUUGUGAGGCCAACGAUCAAUAGAGUGCACCAGGACGUGGUCUCGUAUUCGCAUUUCCGGAAGCCAGCAAGAGCGUGCUAACAGCAUGAGGCCGGCGGCGAGAAGAAGAUGACGAAUAGGAAAGGAAAUGCGCUAGCAAAAACUAGGAGUAGAGGUAAUUUUGUGUUAAAUUUUUAUAGUAUCAUUUUCUUCAGAUAAUGAAUUGACAAUCUACAACAACAAUGUUAUGUUUAGUGUCGUUUUUGUGAUGAAUAAAGCUUAUUGAUUCGAUUGAUUUUUUCAUUAACCUGGCUGACUGCACGUUAAAUUCGGUUACGAGGUUCUCCUCAAAUUGGGGUAUGAUAAUCAAAUAAAAAUGCAGUCAUGGCAUAGUCAUUUUGGUUUUGCAUCAAACAAAUAAUUUUAUGCUGGAGAGUUCGCCCCACCUCAAAAAAGUUUUGUCCUCCGCCACUGAUUAGAAAUAUGCAACAUCCACAUGCAUUAUUCAGCAAACACAUACUACAUCGAGCACACACGCGCAUCAUUCAGCAGGCACAAAGCACAUCCAGGACACACCUAUUAUCCAAUGAGAACAAGUGAGAGAAGAGAGGGACUAAAGUACCUCUGUGAUGGAGGGGAGGCAAAUUAGGGCGUCGGCGUUGCAUCGGUAGCUUAGAUGUUCUUGGGGAGGGAGAGGAGCAGCAGGCUCGCUUCCACGGC